AACGAACGCUGGCGGCAUGCCUAACACAUGCAAGUCGAACGAGACCUUCGGGUCUAGUGGCGCACGGGUGCGUAACGCGUGGGAACCUGCCCUUAGGUUCGGAAUAACUCCCCGAAAGGGGUGCUAAUACCGGAUAAUGUCUUCGGACCAAAGAUUUAUCGCCUUUGGAUGGGCCCGCGUUGGAUUAGCUAGUUGGUAGGGUAAAAGCAUACCAAGGCUACGAUACAUAGCUGGUCUGAGAGGAUGAUAAGCCACACUGGGACUGAGACACGGCCCAGACUAGUACGGGAGGGAGGAGUGGGGAAUAUUGGAAAACGGGCGAAAGACUGAAGAAGCAAUGCCGCGAGAGUGAUGAAGGCAUUAGGGUAGUAAAGCUCUUUUAAACGGGAAGAGAAUGACAGUAACGGGAGAAUAAGCACCGGCUAACUACGUG
rnacentral:rRNA from 1 species